rnacentral:rRNA from 1 species
CUACGGGCGGCUCCUGUGGGGAAUAUUGCACAAUGGGCGCAAGCCUGAUGCAGCCAUGCCGCGUGUAUGAAGAAGGCCUUCGGGUUGUAAAGUACUUUCAGCGGGGAGGAAGGGAGUAAAGUUAAUACCUUUGCUCAUUGACGUUACCCGCAGAAGAAGCACCGGCUAACUCCGUGCCAGCAGCCGCGGUAAUACGGAGGGUGCAAGCGUUAAUCGGAAUUACUGGGCGUAAAGCGCACGCAGGCGGUUUGUUAAGUCAGAUGUGAAAUCCCCGGGCUCAACCUGGGAACUGCAUCUAAUACUGGCAAGCUUGAGUCUCGUAGAGGGGGGUAGAAUUCCAGGUGUAGCGGUGAAAUGCGUAGAGAUCUGGAGGAAUACCGGUGGCGAAGGCGGCCCCCUGGACGAAGACUGACGCUCAGGUGCGAAAGCGUGGGGAGCAAACAGGAUUAGAUACCCGGGUAGUC